rnacentral:rRNA from 1 species
UACGGAGGGGGCUAGCGUUGUUCGGAAUUACUGGGCGUAAAGCGCACGUAGGCGGCUUUGUAAGUUAGAGGUGAAAGCCCGGAGCUCAACUCCGGAAUUGCCUUUAAGACUGCAUCGCUCGAAUCAUGGAGAGGUGAGUGGAAUUCCGAGUGUAGAGGUGAAAUUCGUAGAUAUUCGGAAGAACACCAGUGGCGAAGGCGACUCACUGGACAUGUAUUGACGCUGAGGUGCGAAAGCGUGGGAGCAAACAGG